UACGUAGGGACCAAGCGUUGUCCGGAAUCAUUGGGCGUAAAGAGCGUGUAGGCGGCUUGUUAAGUCUUGCGUGAAAUCUCGGGGCUCAACCCCGAGCGGUCGUGAGAAACUGGCAGGCUAGAGUGCGGGAGAGGAGAGUGGAAUUCCUGGUGUAGUGGUGAAAUGCGUAGAGAUCCGGAGGAACCCCAGAGGCGAAGGCGGCAUUCUGGCUCGCAACUGACGCUCAGACACGACAGCAUGGGGAGCGAACGGG
rnacentral:rRNA from 1 species